rnacentral:lncRNA from 1 species
UGUAAAAAAAAUUUAAAUAGCCCAAAUUAAUAAAAAAAUAUUUUAAAUUAAAUAAUCAUUUAAUUUAUAAACUAAAAAUAUUUUUUCAUUUUUUUAGCUUUAAAAAACCACUCUGAAAAUUUUCAAAAUUCACAGGGACCAAAUUGUAAUUUGCUUGCAAAUUCAUCUUCUUCCUCGGGAACAACUCUAGCCACCGCUUUUCAUCAAGCAGCAGCCCGUCGGAAGCUCAGCCAUCGCUGCCAGCCCAGGAAGCGGCGGACAGCGCAACGAUUGCGCCUUCUUCGGCGUCGAGGCAGCCUGAACCACUCCUCGUCGACGAAGGGUCGUGAGGGGAGACCAAAUCAUGAUUCAUCUCGGUCUCCACCUCCUGCCGCGUGACGCCAAGCUUCAACCACCCGCCGACAGUGCCCGACCAGCUCCCGCCGCCAGCGCAGAUCUCCGACAACAGCGCAACGCUUGCGCUCACACUGGCAGACCGAAUCGGCACCGAGAGCUCUAUCACCAACGGGAUCGCUAAGGGAGUCGAUCUUACCAUUUCACCGGAUCGUUUAGCAACUCCCUACCCCCGGCGAUGUCGAGCCUGCUGGGUUUGCACCCGUGCAGUGGCAACGAGGCGUCGCCGGCGAGAGGGACGCGUCGCUCAUCCUCUCACCGGACAUGGCUGCCCAUGGUCACGCCACAGAUCACCAUGAUUUAAAUGGUUCUAUACUACUUGUUGGAUUUCAAUUUUUUUCUUUCAUAUAAAUAACAUUUAAACGAAAAAAAUAAUAAUAAUAAUAAUUACAAUAAAAUGAAAACAUUCGUUUUAACUGGUUAUCAUAAAUUAUAAAUCAUUUGAGUAUUGGUUUCUAGCAAUAUCUUUAUAGAAUGAAGAUCCAUAAAUCUUAUAAUAGUUGUAAAAAAAUUUGAG